AGUGAACGCUGGCGGUAGGCCUAACACAUGCAAGUCGAACGGCAGCACAGUAAGAGCUUGCUCUUACGGGUGGCGAGUGGCGGACGGGUGAGGAAUACAUCGGAAUCUACUUUUUCGUGGGGGAUAACGUAGGGAAACUUACGCUAAUACCGCAUACGACCUACGGGUGAAAGCAGGGGAUCUUCGGACCUUGCGCGAUUGAAUGAGCCGAUGUCGGAUUAGCUAGUUGGCGGGGUAAAGGCCCACCAAGGCGACGAUCCGUAGCUGGUCUGAGAGGAUGAUCAGCCACACUGGAACGGAGACACGGUCCAGACUCCUACGGGAGGCAGCAGUGGGGAAUAUUGGACAAUGGGCGCAAGCCUGAUCCAGCCAUCCCGCGUGGGUGAAGAAGGCCUUCGGGUUGUAAAGCCCUUUUGUUGGGAAAGAAAAGCAGCAGGUUAAUACCCCGCUGUUCUGACGGUAACCAAAGAAUAAGCACCGGCUAACUUCGUG
rnacentral:rRNA from 1 species